AACGAACGCUGGCGGCAUGCCUAACACAUGCGAGUCGAACGAGACCUUCGGGUCUAGUGGCGCACGGGUGCGUAACGCGUGGGAACCUGCCCUUAGGUUCGGAAUAACUCCCCGAAAGGGGUGCUAAUACCGGAUAAUGUCUUCGGACCAAAGAUUUAUCGCCUUUGGAUGGGCCCGCGUUGGAUUAGCUAGUUGGUAGGGUAAAAGCCUACCAAGGCGACGAUCCAUAGCUGGUCUGAGAGGAUGAUCAGCCACACUGGGACUGAGACACGGCCCAGACUCCUACGGGAGGCAGCAGUGGGGAAUAUUGGACAAUGGGCGAAAGCCUGAUCCAGCAAUGCCGCGUGAGUGAUGAAGGCCUUAGGGUUGUAAAGCUCUUUUACACGGGAUGAUAAUGACAGUACCGGGAGAAUAAGCUCCGGCUAACUCCGUG
rnacentral:rRNA from 1 species